ACGAAGGGUGCUAGCGUUGUUCGGAAUUACUGGGCGUAAAGGGCGCGUAGGCGGCCAUAUAAGUCAGAUGUGAAAGCCCCGGGCUUAACCUGGGAACCGCAUUUGAUACUGUAAGGCUAGAGAUCGAAAGGGGAAAGUGGAAUGAUGAGUGUAGAGGUGAAAUUCGUAGAUAUUCAGUGGAACACCGGUGGCGAAGGCGACUUUCUGGUUCGAUACUGACGCUAAGGCGCGAAAGCGUGGGGAGCAAACAG
rnacentral:rRNA from 1 species